rnacentral:misc_RNA from 1 species
GUGAGUCAUCGAAUCUUUGAACGCACAUUGCGCCCCGUGGCAUUCCGCGGGGCAUGCCUGUCCGAGCGUCAUUUCAACCCUCAAGCCCCGCUUGGUGUUGGGCCCUGCCCUCUGCGGCCGGCCCUAAAGUCAGUGGCGGCGCCGUCCGGCCCUCAGCGUAGUACAGCUCUCGCUCCAGGGUCCCUCGGCGGCUUGCCAGAACCCCAACUCUGUGGUUGACCUCGGAUCAGGUAGGGAUACCCGCUGAACUUAAGCAUAUCAAUAAGCGGAGGA